rnacentral:rRNA from 1 species
ACGGGAGGCAGCAGUGAGGAAUAUUGGUCAAUGGACGGAAGUCUGAACCAGCCAUCUCGCGUGCAGGAUUACAGCCCUAUGGGUUUUAAACUGCUUUUAUAAGGGGAUAAAGUUAGAUAUGUAUAUCUAUUUGCAGGUACCUUAUGAAUAAGGAUCGGCUAACUCCGUGCCAGCAGCCGCGGUAAUACGGAGGAUCCGAGCGUUAUCCGGAUUUAUUGGGUUUAAAGGGUGCGCAGGCGGCACGUUAAGUCAGCGGUGAAAUGUCGGGGCUCAACCCGGGCACUGCCGUUGAAACUGGCGAGCUUGAGUACGGAUGAAGUCGGCGGAAUGUGAUGUGUAGCGGUGAAAUGCUUAGAUAUGUCACAGAACACCGAUUGCGAAGGCAGCUGACUAAUCCGCAACUGACGCUCAGGCACGAAAGCGUGGGGAUCGAACAGGAUUAGAUACCCUGGUA